rnacentral:rRNA from 1 species
AUACGGAGGGUGCAAGCGUUACUCGGAAUCACUGGGCGUAAAGCGCGCGCAGGCGGUUAUUUAAGUUGGAUGUGAAAGCCUACGGCUCAACCGUAGAACUGCAUCCAAAACUAUUUAGCUAGAGUGUGGGAGAGGAAGAUGGAAUUAGUUGUGUAGGGGUAAAAUCCGUAGAGAUAACUAGGAAUACCAAAAGCGAAGGCAAUCUUCUGGAACACUACUGACGCUGAGGCGCGAAGGCGUGGGGAGCAAACAGGAUUAGAAACCCCAGUAGUCC